rnacentral:rRNA from 1 species
GAGUCUUCGGGUCUGCAUGACGACGAGGUCAGACUCCUCUCUUUUGAGAAAAGAGACAGUGGUGAUGCUGUCGUCAGCUCGUGUGUGAGAUGUGGUUAGUCCGCGACGACGCAACCCUACUUUAGAGCCAGCACGUACGGUGGGAACUCUAGAGGACUCCGGGGAUAACCCGGAGGAAGGUGGGGAUGACGUCAAAUCAUCAUCCCCUUAUGAUUUGGGCUACACACGUGCUACAAUGGCGUAAACAAAGGGACGCGACCCUGUGAGGGCGAGCAAAUCCCAAAAAUAACGUCUCAGUUCGGAUUGUAGUCUGCAAAAAGAAUACAUGAAGCUGGAAUCGCUAGUAAUCGCGGAUCAGAAUGCCGCGGUGAAUACGUUCCCGGGUCUUGUACACACCGCCCGUCACACCAUGGGAGUCGGAAAUGCCCGAAGUACGUGACUUAACCGAAAGGAGAGAGCGUCCGAAGGCAGGUCGGAUAACUGGGGUGAAGUCGUAACAAGGUAGCCGUAUCGGAAGGUGC